CAGAGUGAGACUCUGUCUCACUCUGUUGCACAGUUUACAACAACAAAACUAUAGCAUCCAUCACAUAGAGGAGAGACUCCCCAACACACAUAUAAGGAUUACUCUCAGCCCCAGCUCCCUCAAACUUCCUAAGAUCAGCACUGGUAUCUGAUGGUGGCUCCUUGUAAAUCAAACUUAAUGGAGUAUGUGUUAUUUGGUUUAUGUUUAUGUGCAGCCUGCAUAACAACCACUCUGUCAACAUCAUGCAUAUGUUCAUUGUGUUGGUACUAGAAGACUCUAUGACACACACAAGCUGAUGUCAUCUGAUGGGUCUAUUUUAUCUACUUGGCUGUGCAAAUCCUCUUCUGUAGUAUAUGCUUUCUGGUGGACACUAAUAUGGAACACAAAGAUCUUCUCACAUUGCAGCUGCUCCCAUAUAUCCAUUGAUAUAUGCCUCUAACUCCAGACCUUUUUGUCCUUAAUCUUCUAAUCCGGUUAUCUCUUUUCCUUUAGUGCAAUUUUUCCUUAUUUGUUUGUUUUGUUUUUUUUUUUAAGUAAAUAGCUAGGCUUCUAAGCCCUACCACAGAGAGUCAACAGACAAACUGCCCAGGGAAAAGUUAUGACCUCAGGCAAAGUGAAUUUCUACAGCUAAGGCAGAUCCUGAAGAAGCUCACAAAUAAAGGCUGCAUACUCACACAUUCCCUGAAGCUUGACAGUGCCAGCCACCAUACUGUGAGGGAGCUGAAGUAAGCCCACAUGAGGAAGAAUUGAGGUCCCAAGCCAACAGCUGCAGCUAAGAUCCAAGCUCUCAACCAGUACCAGUUCAUCCGUUAUGCACACUAAGAUAUGGAAGCUAAAAGAGGACUAAGAGGAUUCUGGGGAUAUUACAAGAUAUUGCAGACUAUCUUGUUUUCCUGGAAAAGGAUUUUACCUCAGUCGACUGAAUUACUUUUUUCACUGUGUCUUGCCACUCUUCGUGCAUGCAUCAAAGACCCUAAUAUGACUUCUGGUGGCCUGGGACUCCUUGGGAAAACAGAAAAGGGGCCACAAAUCCCAUUUUGGGAACAAUCUGUUUUACUCAUGGAACCCCUGGAAUUAGAGAAACCAUCAAGCUUUAAAUGGUGUGGCAAAAGGAGCUGAAAAUUAAACUGACCUUCUACUGCAUACCCUUAAAUUGACCCAGGAGGAGCCCUAGCUGCUAUUCCCAUGCCACGCCCCUCUCCAGCAGGAAGUAGCCAGAAGCUGCUCCAAGUACAGAAAACCCUUUGAAGUCACUUGGAACUUUGUGCUCCGAUGAGGCCUGAAGGACAUGCAAAGUAAGAAACAUGGCCAUGCUUGCAAAUAAGCAAAAACUGAUCUAUGGCAGUUUUGCAGAAGAGAAUGGAAAGAAGUUUGGAGCUGCUCAAGGGCUACAAAUGCCAUGCUAGGAAGUUCACUUCAUCCUUUGGGAAGAUAAUGGAGAUGCAACAGAAC
rnacentral:lncRNA from 1 species